CUGCUGCCUCCCGUAGGAGUUUGGGCCGUGUCUCAGUCCCAAUGUGGCCGUUCACCCUCUCAGGCCGGCUACUGAUCGUCGCCUUGGUGGGCCUUUACCCCGCCAACUAGCUAAUACAACGCAUGUCCAUCUCUGACCACCUGAGUUUUCAACCACCGAAGAUGCCUCCGGUGAUGUUAUGGGGUAUUAGUACCAAUUUCUCGAUGUUAUCCCCCUGUCAAAGGUAGGUUACAUACGCGUUACGCACCCGUCCGCCGGUCGCGG
rnacentral:rRNA from 1 species